rnacentral:misc_RNA from 1 species
GUGAAUCAUCAAAUCUUUGAACGCAAAUUGCACUCUCCUCGGAGAGUAUGCCUGUUUGAGGGUCAGCCUAUAAAAAAUCGACAUCGUUGCUGUUUCGCGGUGGCGUUCGUCGGCAAUUGGGUCAUCUUAAAUCUUUUGGUCUUAAGCGACUUAAAAUUUUCUUUUUGGUUCCAUGAACGUUUUUAAGCUUUAUUUCUUUAGACG